UCUUCCAUGAUAUAUCAUGGCUCAACUUUUGGCAUAAUGCAGCGUCAUCCGGUGAGGUACUGUGUUGAACAUUCAUGCAAUCGCACAUCCCUGGUAGAUCACUUUGUAACAUCAAGGCCAUAUUUAUACUGUUUACUUCGCAACCAUUGUGACGAAACAUGAAAUAGUUGCUGCCGUAAUAAAGUUCCAGGGUUGUAAAAUCCUGUCUGUGAGUAUUAGAAACUGUUGUGGAGGUGUUUUGUCAUCUGAUAAACCUUUCAAAGCAUAAAUCUGUUACUCCAACAUGAUGUCUUGGAUCAGAUAUCAUGCCGUUGCUCUCACCAACACAGCCUCCUGUGUUGUUUUUAAACAGAAAUGGUGAUUGGACACUGGCCCCACCGGCAUCCGACAUCGGAAAGCUGCGGGAGGAGAUGGUUUCUGAAGCUAGUCGACAGUCCGACCAGAACUUCUGAUGGAGUAUACUUGUCCCUUAAUGAUGAGCACUGUAGACUCUAACUGCAACAAACUGGGUUCAAAUCUCAUUGAACCCUCAUUUUUAUGAAAUGGUGAUUGGACACUGGCCCCACCGGCAUCCGACCUCGGAAAGCUGCGGGAGGAGAUGGUUUCUGAAGCUAGUCGACAGUCCGACCAGAACUUCUGAUGGAGUAUACUUGUCCCUUAAUGAUGAGCACUGUAGACUCUAACUGCAACAAACUGGGUUCAAAUCUCAUUGAACCCUCAUUUUUAUGAAAUGGUGAUUGGACACUGGCCCCACCGGCAUCCGACAUCGGAAAGCUGCGGGAGGAGAUGGUUUCUGAAGCUAGUCGACAGUCCGACCAGAACUUCUGAUGGAGUAUACUUGUCCCUUAAUGAUGAGCACUGUAGACUCUAACUGCAACAAACUGGGUUCAAAUCUCAUUGAACCCUCAUUUUUAUGAAAUGGUGAUUGGACACUGGCCCCACCGGCAUCCGACCUCGGAAAGCUGCGGGAGGAGAUGGUUUCUGAAGCUAGUCGACAGUCCGACCAGAACUUCUGAUGGAGUAUACUUGUCCCUUAAUGAUGAGCACUGUAGACUCUAACUGCAACAAACUGGGUUCAAAUCUCAUUGAACCCUCAUUUUUAUGAUCAGGUCCCACCGAGAUUUGAACUCGGAUCGCUGGAUUCAGAGUCCAGAGUGCGCUUCAUCACACCAUGGAACCACUGCAACGUUGACACCCUACACAGUAAAAGACACCUGAUGUCAGAAGUGGGAUUCGAACCCACGCCUCCAGAGGAGACUGCGACCUGAACGCAGCGCCUUAGACCGCUCGGCCAUCCUGACUGAAAAAGUGCCAUGUUUGAUUGAAUUUUUUUUUAGAUAUCAUGAUAUAGCACAU